rnacentral:lncRNA from 1 species
GCCUCCUGUCCUUUAGAACAGCUUCUCCUGACGUGCUAAUGAGGGUUAUAACAAUGGAGGCCGGCUGGCACACAACAUAGGAGACGGGGUGUUUUUGUGCCUGAACUGGACCCACAUUGCCACUCUGAUCCAAGCCCUCCAAAACUGUACCCAUCCCUCCCUCCCUCCACAGCAACCUGUCCUGUUCCGCUCCAGUGGGGCUGCUUCCUCCCAUAAUGAGAUCGCCGUGUGCCCCAUCAGGGCCGGCCGCCUCGUCCCCCAUUUCCAGGCUAACGAGGGUGAGAUGUCGUGACUGCCAGAGCCCCCCGAAAAACAAGUAAGCUUCAUAGAGAACAAGAUACCAGCGAGUGUCAGAGAAGAUCACCCAACCCAACAACCCAACAACAACCAACAACCAACAACCCAACAACCCAACAACCCAACAACUCCAACAACCCAACAACCCAACCAACAACCCAACCAACCCAACAACCCAACAACCCAACAACCCAACAACUCAACCCAACAACCCAACAACUCAACCCAACAACCCAACAACCCAACAACUCAACCCAACAACCCAACAACCCAACAACCCAACAACCCAACAACCCAACAACUCAACCCAACAACCCAACAACCCAACAACUCAACCCAACAACCCAACAACUCAACAACCCAACAACCCAACAACCCAACAACCCAACAACCCAACAACCCAACAACCCAACAACCCAACAACCCAACAACCCAACAACCCAACAACUCAACCCAACAACCCAACAACCCAACAACCCAACAACCCAACAACCCAACAACCCAACAACUCAACCCAACAACCCAACAACCCAACAACCCAACAACCCAACAACCCAACAACCCAACAACCCAACAACCCAACAACCCAACAACCCAACAACUCAACCCAACAACCCAACAACCCAACAACCCAACAACUCAACCCAACAACCCAACAACCCAACAACAACACUCAACCCAACAACCCAACAACUCAACAACCCAACAACCCAACAACCCAACAACCCAACAACCACAACCCAACAACCCAACAACCCAACAACUCAACCCAACAACCCAACAACCCAACAACCCAACAACUCAACCCAACAACCCAACAACCCAACAACCCAACAACUCAACCCAACAACCCAACAACCCAACAACCCAACAACUCAACCCAACAACCCAACAACUCAACCCAACAACCCAACAACCCAACAACCCAACAACCCAACAACCCAACAACCCAACAACCCAAACAACUCAACCCAACAACCCAUCAACCCAACAACCCAACAACCCAACAACUCAACCCAACAACCCAACAACCCCAACAACCCAACAACUCAACCCAACAACCCAACAACCCAACAACCCAACAACCCAACAACUCAACCCAACAACCCAACAACACAACCCCAACACCAACAAGGCCCAACACCAUUCAACCCAACAACCCAACACCCAACAACUCAACCCAACAACCCAAACAACCCAACAAACCCAACAACCCAACAACUCAACCCAACAACCCAACAACCCAACAACCCAACAACCCAACAACCCAACAACCCAACUCUAUCAUGUAAAAGACAAUGUAAAGUAAACAUCACCUGUAAUACAUCUCAGGGCAGAGUGAUAGACUGAGUCCACAAGUUUAAAGGUUGCCUAUAAAUCACAUCACCGUAGUACAACACUAAUAUUAAAACAACCCUUUUUAUUUCGGUAAACAUAUCCAAACUUUUGCCAGAGUCGACACACAAGAUUAUCAAUGUGAAAUUUGAAUAUAUAUUCAAAAAGUUCAAAGUGAAUUGAUUUUUAAAGGAGGUGUUAUAUUUUUCUCCAGGAGUCAAGUGCACUACUUCAGACAGGGCUUGUUACGUCCUUGCUUCAUCUAAGUUUCUUUCUUAAAGGAUGCUAAUGGAUCAAAUGUAUUCAUUAGCAGAACACAAAGGUAACCUGCCAUUUAUCUUAAUUGCAACUAUAAUUAUAAAUGGCCUGCCGAGUUGUUAAUGCUCCAAUUCUCAACUUUAUUCCACACAGAGGCUGCUUCCGGCUCUUAGUCCUCACAUACACACUCAAGUAGUGGACACAAACUUAGAAGGAUAGACUUACACUAACUAAUACCCUAACCUUAAAGCUGCAUUAAUAACUAUAUUUUGUAUUAACAAUGAUUACAUCACUCUGCAGUUCCUCUCAGAGAGUUUCAGCAUCUGUCGGUGUUUCAUUGUUCUUAAUACACUUGUUAUAUAUAUAUAUAUAUAUAUAUAUAUAUAUAUAUAUACAGUAUAUUAAAGUUAAUGUUUGUGUCAGACAGACAGGUAACUACUGCUGUGGGAAAUUCUCCAUUCUACCUGACCUGCAGCUAUUUGGACAAAACGUGCAAUCUCCAGU